AGGCUAAAUGAUUUCACGUGGAUAUGCCAAUACAUCUUCCACCAUAUGUUGCUUACCUUUUACUGUGUUGGCAUAUUCGUGAGAUGACGUUAGUUUAGAUUUGUCUUAACAACUAUCUACGCUGAUAGAAUAGGAUUUGUGGAGACAGGAAUACACAUGGUACGUGAUUUCGGUGAAAUCAAUUUAGGAUCCGGUGAUCAUGUAGUUGGUUCUUCCAGUAAAGUGGAUUAAUUACAAACAAUAUUCAAAUACAGUCAAGGAUAUUACUUGAUUUAAGUAUCAUAUGCUCAAAUACUGAAUUACGUGACCGAAAAAUAAUACACUUCGAGGUGCAAGAAGUGCACCUUCAACUACAGAGAUCCGCCAUUACAACUUUGUGCUACGUAAUAUCCACUCGACAAGUUCGGGAAUUCUCGGGAACGAGAAACGACUCUAGGCGGAAACAUCCGAAGUUAUAAUUUUGAAAAUAUACGAAAUUCAAAAUUAGAGCAUUAAAAUUUUUGCAAUUACAUUAAAUUUUGAUGAACAAAGUAUAAUAAAUGUUUAGACUUAAUUCUUCGCUUUAUUAAUUAUUUAAUAAAAUGAAAAGAUGAGCAAAUUUUUCUUUUAAGAAUUUAAGAUACAGAUGUAAUAAACUAUACAAAAAUCAGGAAUUUUUAUAUUUAAAGAAAUUAAAUUGAAUCUAAAACAAUAAGGUUUCAGUUAAUACUUUGUAAUAAAAUACACAUAAAAGAUUGGAUUGUGUUAUUACUAUAUUAACUUCACUUCAUUUCAAUAAAUAAAUGAAACCACUUUAAAGUUACAAUUACAGUUCUUUGUAUUUAUUUGUGACGUUUUUCUCGAUUUCACAUAAUGUAAUAUUUAGUAACUUUAUUUACAAAUUACCGAUCCAAUGUAUGGACCAAUAAACUUUAGUUUGCUUAGGAUUUGAAUUAUUUACAAAAAUUUUUGAAUUAUGAAACAAUCUCUUAAGUCCAGAAAUUUACCACAGACAGAAUCCGUUUUCACUGUCUGUAAUCAAUUAAGCAGCAAACACUAUUACCUUUGUUUCUUUAUUCUUAAAAAAUUGAAUUAAAAUCUUUUUACAAUUUUGUAAGAAACACUUUUCACCAAAUAUUGGUCAAGCAUUACUAUUCUUAAAAAUGAGUCUAACAUAAAUGCAAUUUUUCUUCGCGAAGAACAUCAUUUUCUUGAUACUGUUCUCAUUAUAUUUUACAUAAAUUUCAAUCCGUAAUAGCCUCUUUUUAAAAGCAACAACGUUGUCUGAAAGUGAUAUUUGAGAACAAAUGUCACUGUUGUUCUAUUCUUUUGGUAAUUAAUAACACCGAUACAUUUGUUGUUGGCAGUGCUUUUAGUAAUUACAUUCUUGGCAAGUAACUUCCAACGUCUUUGUCUUUUACAUAGCAUGAUUUGCACAAUUACAGACACAUUGUAUACGUUCAAAAGUAAAGUUUCAGAUUGAACGGGUAAUUAAAAACAUGAUCUGAACAUUACACUUUCGAUGUAUCGAGAAACGUUUGAACAAUGAAAAUAUCAAAAAUGAGACUUCUAACUAUACUGAAUACGAUAAUACAUACAUUACAUAUUCGGCUAAUUUUUUGUUCAUAAACGAAAUAGAAGUUGUAUAUCAUGGAUUUACAUUGAAUUUGCAGCACAGCUGCAAUAGAUUUUAUCUCAGUUUCAAUCAUGAUGUACUAUAAGACUGUUAAUUGCAUUAUACAAAGUUUGAGAACUCGUGAUAAUAAAUACAUAAAACAUUUUGUACUUGCAAUUUUUGUAAUCAACACUUAAUGUACAAUUACAUAAACUGCAUAAUAAAUUUUAACAAAUUACGUUCAUGAUUUUUGUAGGAUACUUCAAAUGAAACAAUCAACAUUCAGCAAUAAAAUUAGGAUAGCUUCAUUGUAAUUUUACAUUUGUUUGAGUAUAUGAUAAAAAUUUCUGCAGAAAGAUCGUGUGAAAAAUUUUGGAUAAGUAAAAAUACGUGUUAAGUACUUCCGAAUAUGAAAAUCAGUUUUUAUUAAAUAGAGUAUUAUCGUAAAAUAAGAUGCAGAUUUGACAAUAGUCCAUGAAUUCCGUAAUUCAAUAAAACUAUUUAAACGUAAUUUCAUACAUGUUAACAAAAUACAAAUAUACAAAAAUAUGUAUGUUAUUAAUUUUCAAUAUCGUGGUAAAUUUUUUAAAUGUUCUUACUCGGUUUGAAAAAUUCUCAUACCUUUUAAAUUAGGAAAAAUUGUAAUUUUAGACAGUCGUUGCACGUCUUUAAUAUAGUUUAAUUAUGAACCACGUAACGGAUCAAAAAAUGAAGAAAAAGAAAAACAAGAAUCUGUAUUAUUAUUAUUAUUCAUGUUAUAGAUCGAAUAUAAGUAUUAUGAUUGUACGAAAAAUGUAAUCACAAAAAUAACAAGUUAAUUGUAAAGCAAACACAUAUUGGCAGCAAUGUUGACAUUAAAUUUGUAAACGUGUUCUAUAUUUGUUUCGCCUUUCUAUAACUGAUGGAAUGUUCUUUCUUCUCUUCCAUGAAUAUUCACUCAUUAUACAUUUCUUCCCUUCUCCAAAUGCUUUUUUUACUAUCUAUCUGCCAAGGUUGCAUUGGAAUUGUUUUUAUUCUAACUUUCACUUUCGAACAUGAUAAUAACACUGUACCCUCACAUUUCUACAAAGUAUAUAUUAUAUUUAUUUUCUUAAUAUAUGCAAGACUUGAUGAGUACUUGCUUUCAUUAUCUCAUUUCGUACGUUCAGUUUCUUCAUACGAUCGCAUUAUCCAUAAUAAUAUAAGUAGAAUAUAAUAUAUGACAUUUUUUCUCUGUAUAUGUAACUGUACUCGUGGGUGCUGCAAUUUGCAACUUCUUGUUUUUGAAGGUUUUGACAAUAUUAUUUACCUAAAGGACUUUGCAAGCUUUAUAAUAAGAAAAAAUAAAUGGUCAGAAAAACAUUAUCUAAUUAAUUAAAUUAUAUUACUAUUUAUUAAUAAGCUACAUACUAAAAAUUCAAGAAAUUUAAAUAAUUGUAGUUAUUGAAGUAUUAUCAUAAGGAUACUGUAAUUUACAAAUAAAAACUUGCUGUCCACACUUAGGCAAAUAAUCUUCGCGUUACUACCGUGUUUAGAAACUAUGCAUAGUAAAAUAGUACUUUGCUUCCUCAUAGUCAAUAGUAAGAAUCUUCAUGUUCUUCAGUCUUAUAAGCAAUAAUUUUUUUGUUUUAAAUAGAAAGCUGUUCAUUUCUUGUCUGUAAAUGGCUCAUUUUCUUGUAAUUAUUUUCAAUCCUAUACCACAUUCCAUAUCUUCUGCACACUUAUAGCUUUUAGUUAACGUAUCUUGUAAAAUUUCUUACAAACAAGUCGAAAGAUACUCGAAAAAAAAAAAAAAAAAAAA